rnacentral:rRNA from 1 species
GUUGUUCGGAUUUACUGGGCGUAAAGGGCGCGUAGGCGGCAAUUCAAGUCAGCUGUGAAAUCUCCGGGCUUAACUCGGAACGGUCAGCUGAUACUGCUUUGCUAGAGUGCAGAAGGGGCAAUCGGAAUUCUUGGUGUAGCGGUGAAAUGCGUAGAUAUCAAGAGGAACACCUGAGGUGAAGACGGGUUGCUGGGCUGACACUGACGCUGAGGCGCGAAAGCUAGGGUAGCAAACGGG